GCGGGUGUAGCUCAAUGGUAGAGCUUCUGGCUUCCAUCCAGAUGACGAGGGUUCGAUUCCCUUCACCCGCU
rnacentral:tRNA from 1 species